GAUCAAUAGCUACGCUUACCUGAAGGUUCCAGGUGAGCCUGGGUAGAGGGGCUGUCUAAGACACUACGGUCUGUGGGACGCUAUUUGGUUCUAGACCCUCCUGGGCACUGCGUGCCACUCCUGGAAGAAUCUUGAGGAACUUAGAAGAUGCCAGGCAGGGGGACUAAAGCUCCUCAAAAACACAGAUGUCAAAAAUCCCCAUGUGAAGGAGAUCAUGUAGGAGGAAUUUUACAAGAAUUGAAGCGGGUGGUUAGGAAUCCAGUCCACAUCCCCAGGGACAGAGUUCUACUCUGAGAUCAAAGACCGCCUGGAGCAGUUUAUGAGAUGGGAAGGAAGUGGGAGAAGGAUCCCGAACUCCUUGAGGGGUGUUCCAGAAUGACAAGCCUGCUUGGUAUAGCUGGCAUCGGCCCAGCGGUGUCCUUCAGAGCUAGGACAAGGUUCAUCAGAACCCCCAGCUGUCAUGUUGCAAAAGUCUCAGAGAUGUUUUGAAAGGAAGGCAUGUCUGGGACUGCUGGUCUACACUCCUGAGGCCUUCACUGGUCUACGCUCCUGAGACUCCUUACUGUGGUUCUCUUUCCUACAAAUACAGUGAGAGUUUUAGAAGGCUCCAAAAUAAGAAGACGGUUGCUCCUGCUUCUGGUAUGGACUGGUGGAGAACAAAAGGAAACUUUACAAAAGAGAGAAGCUUCAGAAAUAUGACAACUUUAAACUCGUUUUUAAAAGAUUUUUCCUGCUUGUACAG